rnacentral:rRNA from 1 species
GAUGAACGCUGGCGGCAGGCCUAACACAUGCAAGUCGAACGAAGCCUUCGGGCUUAGUGGCGGACGGGUGAGUAACACGUGGGAACGUACCUUUUGGUUCGGAACAACUCAGGGAAACUUGAGCUAAUACCGGAUGAGCCCUUAGGGGGAAAGAUUUAUCGCCGAAAGAGCGGCCCGCGUUAGAUUAGCUAGUUGGUGAGGUAAAGGCUCACCAAGGCAACGAUCUAUAGCUGGUCUGAGAGGAUGAUCAGCCACACUGGGACUGAGACACGGCCCAGACUCCUACGGGAGGCAGCAGUGGGGAAUCUUGCGCAAUGGGCGAAAGCCUGACGCAGCCAUGCCGCGUGAAUGAUGAAGGUCUUAGGAUUGUAAAAUUCUUUUACCAGGGACGAUAAUGACGGUACCUGGAGAAAAAGCCCCGGCUAACUUCGUGCCAGCCGCCGCGGUAA